UCAUCAAAAAAUUCGAUGAGAAGCUACGCGAGGGAGAUGCGAUUGUCCUCCAGUUGUUCAAAGUGUACGAUGCAACUGGUGAAUACCGUACAACGCCACAUCCUUACAAAAUUAGCUUCUUUCCAACAACUUUUGUUGGAAAAGCUGAUAAUUUUCCAAGUGCAGUUCCCAAAAAGUAUUUCGCGGACUUCUCUGAUAUUCUUGGUGGAAAUCUGGAUCAUAGCUGUUUGGUUGAUGUGGUUGGCCAAAUAGUUAACUUCGGGUCUCUGUAAAAACAAAAUAAUUAAAGGAAAAGACAACAUGAGGCUCUUGGUUGAGCUGCGUGACGCAAAGUAAGACUUUGUUUUUAAUCUUAGUUAUACUUUGCUAGCUAAACGUCUAUUAACUAUAUUUAACUUAAGUUUAUAUUAUACAGUAAUGUAAAGAUGAUGUGUAUUCUGUGGGGUUGUUAUGCUAAACAAGUAUACGAUUACAGUAGGAGUAACAUGUCGACCAUGAUUAUUUGUGUUAUCAGAUUUUGUUCUGUUAAAGAGUGGAAAGGUUUAUAAUAUUGUUUCAAUUUGUGUAAAAUGAUUGCGAGCAUAACAUAUUAAUAAGAUCAAUAUACUUUGUAGGUGCUUACUCCAUAUCUAGCGGGUAUAAUUCAACCCAUAUUCUGCUCAACCCAACACUUGAUUUUAUUGAGGAGUUCAAAUCAAGGUACGUGUCCUGCGUCUUACGUUCCAGACCUAUGGAGGAGUUCAAUACAUAUAGAUGUUUAUUUUAAUUUGAUCACCUCAUUUUCACUGACGGGUUUUUAAAUUAUGUGUGAUUAUUUGUGAUGGCAGUCUCCCUGAUGAUUCACUUGCUCUUACAAACAACGAUAGUAACAAAUGGUCUGUUGGUACUGCAACUUCUAUUCGUGCCAGGUUUUUUGUUCUUAAUGAGAGGCUAACCAUCAGAGAGAUCAUUGACAGUACUCUGGUAUAUAGACUACACUCUUUGAUCUCAAUUUUUUUACACAUUCGUAUACUCCAUGUGUUAUCAAUGCUUUUAACAUAUUGUUAUUAACGAAUAGGUUAGGCACUUUUGUCACUCUGGGGACUAUAUCAAUAAUUGAUACUGAAUGUGGCUGGCAAUAUUUAAGUUGCAAAUACCACAACAAAAAAGUGAUGCCUACAACCAAUGUUGAUGCUGAUGGCCGGCCCUUGUUCUUCUGCAAUACGUGUGACAAAGAACACAGUGAUGUCAUUUCCAGGAUUGAGCGGGUUAGAUAUACAAAUAGAUGAGUUGGGUAAAUCGUCAUUGAAACAGUAUGUGGCGUUUAUUAAUAUUUUUGUACAGGUUCAAAUUAAUUGCCCAUGUCAAGGACGAUAACGGUGAGGCUAAUUUUCUUUUGUUUGAUGCUAAUGCUCAACAAAUUGUGCGUCAUUCUGCUGCUGAACUCUAUGACGAGGUACUUUUAAUAUAAUUGUACAUCAAUUAACAGAAUAAAUUCGUUGAUUGGACCUGAAUGUUUAUCGAGAAAUGUUUGUUUAUUAUUAACAGAAUAAAUUCGUUGAUAAAACCACAAUUGUACAUCAAUUAAAACCACAAUUGUACAUCAAUUAACAGAAUAAAUUCGUUGAUAAAACCAUAAUUGUACAUCAAUUAAUAGAAUAAAUUCGCCGACAUCUACUUUAUCGAGAAAUAUACUUCAUAAUUUAUAUUAUUUAUGGAUAAUAUUUUGAUUUUUAUUAUAUUUUCUUUUAAUAUGUCUACAUAAAUGUUUGUUUAUUAUUUAUGGAAAAAUAAUAUUAUUCACCUAAAAUAAAAAAUUACAAUACAUAUACAAUACAAUUCUAAUUAAUGAUAAUAUAAAAUCUGUUACUUCUAAAACUAUACACUGUUUAUUCUAUUUUUUGAAUGAAAGUAUCUUCGUAAACACACAAAAUAUUUUGUGACAUUGCAAUUAUACAUACACAUAAUAUCUGCCUCUUCAUACUGAUAUUACUGUGUUCCCUCUCGUGAGGUGCGGACCGAGAGGAAACACAGGGUACGGACCAGUCAUGUUCUUAUGCCCGUACAGGGUGUGGACCAGUCACCUAGUCUAUAAUUACAAAAGCUGACGAAAAAAAUAUCCUAGAACCGUAAUACUGGAAAAUGAAAAAAAAAAUGAUUAUUGGAAAAGAAAUCCUAGCUCCAGUGAUUAGAAAGCCACUGGCGCGCAGCAUCGAAAAAAGUCUGUAGCAGUUUAUGUACAGAGAGUUUUUGUUCACUGUUUUAGAAUAAAAUAAUAUUCUGUAAAAGAAAUGAUUCUCUUCUUUGUUUCCUUAUCGUACAGAACUUAAGUGAACCUUUAAAUUUACUUCCACUCUUUAGAACUAAUCAAAGCAAUAUAUAAACUAUUUAUUAAAAAAUAUUAAAUUAAAUAAAAAUAACUACAAAAAAUAAAAACGCUAAUUUUAACGACGCUAACUCUUUCAAUUAAACCCUAAACCCUAAACCCUAAACCCAAGUCCUAGAUCCUAAACCCAAACUGCCAACUUUAAACCCAAAUAAUAUACCCUAAAUCCAAAACCUUAACCAUAAGUCCAAAUGGUAAAUUCUAAACCCAAACCGUAAAUCGUAAACCCAAAACCUAUAACCUAAAAUCCAAACGGUAAAUCCUAAACCCAAACGCUAAACUUAGAUGCUAUAGGGUUUAGGUUAAAGUUUACAGUUUGAGUUUAGGGUUUAAGACUUGGGUUUAGGGUAUAAGGUAUAGAAUUUAUGUUUAUAGUCUAUUUUGUAGGUUUAAGGUGUAUAAUUUGGGUUUAGGGUCUAGAAUUAGGGUUUAGAGUAUAAGAUUUAGGUUUAGGUUUAGAAUUUAGGGUAUAAGAUUUAGGAUUUCGCUGGAAACGUUACUGUCGUUAAAAUUAAUAUUUUUAUUUUUUAUAGCUAUUUGUUAUUCAAUUUAAUAUUUUUAGUUAAUAAUUUAUGUGUUAAUUUGAUUGGUCUUAAAGAGAGGUGAACCUAAGUUUUGUUCUUCCUUAUCCUACAAAAAUCUUUAACUCUCUUUAGUCUUUAGCACGCCGAAUAUCUUUCCUUGAAUUAGUCAAGUGAUAUUGACGUAGGUGCUAGUCCUUCUAUAGAAAGUAUUGGAAAAUCUCUUAAGUAAUAAAAUAAUGGAACAAUUCAAUAACUAUUAACAGAAUAAACUGUAUCAGAUAUCUUUUUAAUAAAUAACUAUAAACGCUGAAAUUUUAGUUUUUCAGAUAUUUUCCUAAUAACUAUAAAGAUUUUAUUAACAAUAAGUAUGAAUAUUAUGUAGUUUUCGUACUUACAAGAACAUGUAUAUCAUUGACUAUAUAUCUCAUAAUAUAUAAUAAGUAUUACUAAUAAAAAGAAAAUAAACAAGUUAUUUUCUAAUCUGUUAUGUACAUUUUAAAUUUUAACUAGGUUGAACAAAAACACUCUAUUUAAUAUAGUAUUUUUUGCAUUUUAAGUUUAUUCAUUUUUUGACAUAUCAAAUAUGUUUGUUAAAAAUAAAUUAAACAUGUUUUCUUUUAUAAUUUUUAUAUACUAACUUGACUAUGGAAUUUUCAACUAACGGUUUUUUAAAACAUGAAAACGUAAUUAGUAAAAACUAUAUAAAUCAAAUAAAAUUAGACGAGAAAGAAGAAGAAAAAAAAGAGAAAAAAAAAAACAAAAUUGUUUAAAGAUUUUGAUCGAUUAAAAAUAAAUAAUGUAAUAUUAAAUAAAAUAUGCUGUAUAUUCUAACCAGAUUGUUUUUGUUUUUUUUUUUAACUUAUUCUAGCCAUAUUGUUGCUAUGGUCAUAUAUUAAAUUAUAUUUUUGAUGGUUAUAGAAUACUAAUUCUCAAAUAUUCUUUCUUCUUCUUUUUGAGCUGCUCUAAUGAAACUAUUCUCCAUUCUACUUAUAUACAAACAAACUAUAGUGGUAUUUUUCUAACUUUGAUUCCCCUUAAUUGGACAUAUUCUGUUGUCGAUGGUUUCUAGCUGUUAUUAAAAAUUAAAAAUAUAGUAGUAAAGGUUACUUUGUAACCAUAAGAAACCGACAAAAUUGACUCGGAUUUAUACCAUUUAACCAGAAGGGUGUUAAUAGCCCUUCGGAGUUCGAACCGAACAGGCCGAAUAGAACCAGAAUUUUUGGUUUUUAGUUCGCUUUUGGUUUUGAGUUUUGUUUGGUUCGGAAAGCUACAAUUCGGUUUACGGUUUUGUUUGGUUUAACAAUACGAAAAGUUAACCGAAUUAUUACUUUUUUAAGGAAAAAAAUUAUACCAAAACUAUACCGGUUUAUACCAAAAUUAUACCAAUGUUAACCAAUAAUCAAUUAAAUUUACCAAGGUAAUCGAAUACCCAGUUUUAACCAAUUUAAACCGAAUUUUCAAAAAAAUUAAAGAAAAGACAAAAUUUGGUUGUUUUUCGUUUUGAGAUUAAAAACCAAAAUUUACCAGUAACCGAAACAAAAUGUUAUUCGGUUAAUUUUGAAAUGAUUUAUAAACAUUUCGGUUAGCCAAAAACCAAAAAUUCGGUUUCAAAAACCGAAAUCGCUGGACUACUGUUAACACUGAUUAGUUCUUUUAUUAACAAACCAUAGUUCUGUAGUGAAUUCUAAAAUUCACGCUAUUGGUCAUAUAUUGGUUGCGAUCCAACAUGUUUUCGUAUUAGCUAUUGCAUGUUGUUCUAACUCAAAAGUAUGAAUUCACAAGAUUAUAUGAUCUCAAUAAAGAACUCACUUUAUUAAUGCUUAAGAAACUAACUCAAAACUUAAGUUCACACACACAAUCUCUAAAACUCAUAAGUUAUGCUAUACAUUCGCAUCUCCUUAUAUAGAAAUUAUAUUUCCUACUCAUUAGGAAAGCACACUUUCCUUUUUCUAACUUAAUUAGGUUUUUGUAACUUAGCCUCCAAGUUAACUUUAAGCUUAUUGCCAACAUUCGCCCCUUUAAUCUUAAAGUUAUCUUCUUCUAUUUCUUGAACUCCAACCGACUCUUGCAUUUCUUUAAACUUAAUUCGACCAAGUGCCUUGGUUAGGAUAUAUGCAUAUAUGCCUUUUGCUCGGUUCCUGGAACAUGAUGAACUUCUAUUUGUUCGUUCUCAACACACUCUCGUAUGAAGUGAUACCUUUUAUGUAUGUGUUUGCUGCGUCCGUGAAACACUGAAUUCUUAGUAAGAGCUAUCGCGGAUUUGUUGUCGAUGUAGAUGAUUGUCUUCUCAAUAGGCUUCUCGAUUAUCUUUUCAAGUAGCUCUUGUAACCAGAUUGCUUGUUUGGCUGCUUCCAUAGCUGCGAUAAACUCUGCUUCACAUGAUGAUAGAGCUACUGUUUCUUUCUUCUGUGAACACAAUGAGAUAGGACAUUCAUUCAAGUAAAAUAUAUGGCCAGUAGUGCUUCUUCUAUCAUCUUCAUCAAUAUUGUGUCCACUGUUGCUAUAUCCUAUGAGUUGCCUUCGGUCACUUCGCUUGUAUAUGAGUCCAUACACAGUGGUACCCUUUAGAUACCGAAGGACUUGUUUCAAGGCUGCAGCAUGCGAUGUCUUAGGUUCAUGCAUAUACCGACUGAGUAAACCAACACAGAAUGAAAGGUCUGGACGUGUAUGGAUCAUGUAUCGAAGGCAGCCAAUCAUGCACCUGUUUUCAGUUGCAUCAACGCUCUGUUCCUCUGGUGCCUUGGAUAGUUUCAAACCAAAAUCCAUUGGUGCAUGUACUUGAUUGCAGUCGUCCAUUCCUCCUUCACUUAAGAUCUUCUUUGUGUAGUUCUCUUGAUUCAAUGUGAUACCCUCACUGCUCUGUCGUACUUCAAUGCCUAUAUAGUACGUUAAUAAACCUAAGUCACUCAUCUCAAAGAUCUCAGACAUCUUCCACUUAAAAUCACAAAUUGACCUUAACUUCGAUCCUGUGAUGAGAAGGUCAUCAACUACACUGCAACCCGUAACAUGCUCUCUUUCUCUCGCUUGCGGUAUAAGGAAGGCUCUUUUGAGCACUUCACAAAUCCCAAAUCUUCAAGAACUCGAUUUAACUUCUCAUUCCAGGCUUGGAGUUUCAAACCAUAUAACGCUUUGUGUAGUUUAUAUACCUUGUGUUUCGCUUCCAUUCACUUUGAAACCCUCCGGUUGAGCCACAUAGACAUCUUUUUUUAGAUCGCCGUGAAGGAACGCAGUUUUGUCAUCCAAGUGAUGGGCUUCCCAGUCGUGUGAUGCUGCUAAAGCGAUGAUGAAUCUGAUGGUUUCAAUACGAGCAACCGGAGCAAAAACUUCUUUAAAAUCAAUGCCAUGUCUUUGAGUAUAUCCCUUUGCAACAAGUCUUGAUUUGUAUUUGUUUAUGCUCCCAUCUGAAUAUAUUUUGAUCUUGAAUAUCCACUUCAAACCUAUAGCUUUGGGGCCUUUCGGUAAGUCGACUAGUGUCCACGUUUUAUUUUUCUAAAUGAAUGCAAUCUCAUCUCUGCACGCGUCUCGCCAUACCUUUUCUUCGACUGCAUCCUUAAAGCUCCAUGGUUCUUCGUCAAUUAUCAACAAGAGGCGUUCUCCCUCUAUCUCUGCUAAAUAUAUAUAGUCAUUGAGAUAAGCCGGUGCUUUGCUGACCCUAGUUGAUCUUCUCAGAGGUAUGUCUUCUAUUUCUUCUUCUUCACAGAUCAUUGUCGACUGAUGAUGUUUGAUUGCUGUUCGAUUCAUCUUCAGUUUCAUCUUCUAUCUCUCUUAUACCUUGGUCUCCAUACUCUCCCAAUGUAAGUUUGAACAUCCAUGGUUCCUGUUCGCGUUCAUCAGGCAUACAACCCCACAUCCAGCUCUUGUUUUCAUCGAAUACUACGUCUCUGCUCACUACUAUUUUUCUCAUAGUUGGAUCAAACAUCAUGUAUGCCUUCGAUACGGGCUUAGUUCCUAGAUGCAAGAGUGUUCUUGUUCUAUCAUCAAGCUUCUUCAGAUUAGGCAUAUGAGUUUUUCUAAAGCCAAUGCAUCCAAAAACUUGUAAGUGCUUUAUAUUAGGCUUUCUUCCUUUAAAGACCUCGUAUGGCGUUUGAUCACUAAGAGUUCUCGUCGCAACUCUGUUUAUAAUGUAGGUAGCAUGUCUCGCAGCUUCUCCCCAUAGGUAAUUAGUAUCUUCAUGUGCUUUAAUAUGAACCUAGUCAUCUCCAUUAGAGUUUGGUUUCGUCUCUCUACCACCCCGUUUUGUUGAGGCAUAUAUGGAGCUGUCAUGUGUCUUUGUAUUCCUGAUAUCUCGCAGAAAUCUUUGAACUCGUUUGAAGUAAACUCACCUCCCCUAUCGGUUCUUAGUCUUUUGAUUGUCAUAUUUGUUUCAUCCUCCACCAUUGCUUUGAACCGCUUGAACUUUUCAAACGCCUGCCCUUUUCCUUUCAACAGAACCAACCACAUGUAGCGUGAAUGAUCAUCGAUCAGUGCAAAUAUAUAGCGAUUCUUUGACGCAUUGGGAGGUGUAAUGCGUCCGCAAAGAUCUCCGUGAAUGAGUUUAAGUACUUGUGAUGCUCCGUAUUGAGUUGCUUUCGGAAACCCUUGCCUUACUUGUUUCCCAAGCAAACAAGACUCGCAUGUUUCCUUCUCUACAUUAAUGUGUGGCAUUCCCUCGACCAGUUAUUUUCUUAUCAUAGCUUUCUUGGAAUCCAUUCCAAUAUGCCCAAGUCGUGCAUGCCAUCGUGUGAACUCGCUCUCUUGCUGCACUUGAAAGCACUUUGCAUCGACAGUAUUCAUAGUUACCUUGUAGAGUCGGUUUCUAGCUCUGCUCGCUUUUGUGAUGAGGUUCCCGUCUAUGUCGUGUAGGGUGAGGUAGUUAUCUUUCAUUCUUGCUUCACAUCCAGCUUCAGUGGCUUGUCCAUGACUGAUUAUGUUAUUCCUCAGCUCCGGAAUGUAGUAGACAACGGUGAGAACACGUUUACUUCCGUUUUCACUCACAAAAUCGAUUGAUCCCUUCCCUUUAAUAUCAAUUCUCAAGUCGUCUCCAAAAUGUACUUUUCCCUUUAUGGUUUCAUCGAUCUUAGUGAAGUACUGUCGAUAUCCUGUCAUAUGAUUACUCGCGCCAUUGUUGAGAUACCAUAUCUUAUCACUAUCCUUGCUUGACUCAAACUCUUGCGGUUUUAUUUUAUUCUCGUUCAGGGAUAUAACUUUAUGCUUCUUGUGUGUCGUCCUUCUCCUCUCUGGUUUCAUAAGCUUCUUGCAGUUUAAGUAACCUGUCCGGGCAAUUCGCAGCAAAGUGGCCGUCCUUGUCACAUCUAAAACAAGUGAUUAUCGAAAAAUAAAUGUGACUGUAAUCUCGAUACGAACGUCCUCGUCCCCGUCCUCUGUUCCAAGAACGUCCCCCUCGACCUCUGUUCCUAUUGUCUCCAUUGUAGUCCCAAUACGGCUGAGCUUGAGAAGCUUCCAUGUUUGCAUACAUAAGUUUGUUUUGAUUGUCUUGGUUCUCUUCCUCAUCCUCGCAUACUCGUUCUUCAUAAGCUUUCAAACGUCCAAUGAUGUCUUCGAAGCUUGUAGUUUUAAGAUCUAGGACCUUUUCUAGAGACGCAACUAUAUGUAUAUAUUUUUUUCGGGGAAUACACUGAAGAAAUUUCUUCACCAACUUGGUUCUUCAAUAUUUUCUCCUAACGCCGCAGAUUUUGACGCAAUCUCUGAUAAUCUUCCAACAAAAUUUUUAAUCGAGUUUGUAUCUUUCAUCUUAAGUCACUCAAACUCGGCCAUUAGGAUUUGUAAUCGAGCUUCUUUUACUCGAUCAGCUCCCAUGUGUCUAGCUUUAAUGACUUCCCAUACCUUUUUCACAUUACUCCUUAAUGCUUAAUAAAAUAACUCAAAACUUAAGCUCACAAAUACAAUCUCUAAAACUCAUAAGUUAUGCUACAUAUUAGCAUCUCUUUAUAUAGAGAUUCUAUUUUCUAAACUCAUUAGGAAAACACACUUUCCUUUUUCUAAUUUAAUUAGGUUUCUUGUAACUUAGCCUCCAAGUUAAGUUUAAGCUUAUUGCCAACACUGAGACGUUUGCACAGUCUAAAAUUCACUACACGUAUGUACAAGUUCUGUAGCUUAAGCCUUGAAAUGGAGGAUUCUACGUUACUUUCUUAAACAAUUUUCAUAUGUUUUAGGGAAUGUCUUUGGAUCUGUUGUGUUCUGCUUUUAAAAGUAAUUUCAAUUAGAACUGUAACAUUCACAAACACAUGUGCAAAUAUUAGAACAUAGGUAUAAUUACUCAAACUUUAGGUUUUAACUAGAAAAAAAUAAAUAUCCUGGGAUGGUCGGUCUGUAUCAAGCAAAAUAUUAUGUGCAGAUAAAAAAAAAUAACCUGUUGUUUAUCUAUAUUUUCAUUAAUGUAAUGUAGCCAUGUCAUACUUUAUUAAUUCUUGAAAUAUCAUAUGCAUUAAAUUUCUAUAAAGUAAUAUUGUUAGGACUUUUGAUAAUUAUUAAUUUACAAAGUUAUUAAUUUGCAUAAAAUUUCAAUUUUAGAUUAAUUUAUAUAUUUUGAAGAAUGUUUUAUAGAUGUAAAAAUAAGAAAACACUGGAUUUUCUGAUAUAUAUAUAUAUAUAUAUAUAUAUGAUUAGAGUUUACUUAUAGAAAAUGUAUGUUAUACUUAUUCGAUUAUUUGGUGUAUAGAAAAUAUAUUUCAUACAUGCAAAAGAAUUCUUAGGUUUAAAAUGACAAAACAACACUAAUUUAUCUAGAACGUUUAGAAAAAAUUAAAGAUAGACUUCAAUGUGAAUAAAAAACAAACUAUAUAUUAUACGUUUUAUAUAUAUAUAAACUUUAUAUACAUUAAUUAUUAAUAUAUAAUUUUAUUUAUUAUGUUAUCAAAUUGUGGUAUGUUUACACUGUUUCAAUUCAAAAAUUGACAAAUUUUAUUAAUUUAAUUUAUUUAUUAAUUUAUACUUAAAGAGUAUCUAACAUACAUAAAAGAUUGCACCUAGCUUUUGUUUCUUAUGAUGUAUGUAUGAAAAAUGAUGUGUUUAUCAUGAACUUAAGAAUUGUUGUGUCGGAUUUUACUUUUAUAUAAAAAUUAUAACCAAAACAAUAUAAAGAAAAUUGUGGCUAUAUCAGAUGCAUAAGGUAAAAUCACAACAAUUUUAUGUUGAUUUUUUACUUUACUCACUGCAACAUUCAACCAUCCAUCUCACUUGCGGCUCGCACUGCUUAAUGCAUUGUGUGUCUGCUAUAAGUCGAAGAACAUUGCCAUUUCUUAUAACUCCGCCAGAAGAUUGUUGGGAACUAACCCAAAUCUAGCGAGCCAGGCCAAGUUGACCACACAAGUUGUGGAAGCAACUAAACUAACAUGACCGAUGAAAAACCAAGCUUACCUCUUCUGAAACCCCUUUGUGAUAUGCCAGAUAUGCGUAAGACAAAAUAAUGUGUACUGUCUUUACUGCACCACCCGAUUUGUUCCAAGCCAUGAAGGAAAAUCUGCGCUUUCUGUGAUAUUGCAGGUUUGCUUGCUUACAAAUGGGGAUCAAUUCCCAUUUGUAACUAGGUGAGUUUUAUGUGGUUUUCUACGUCAAUGGAUGAAGUUACUUUUAAGUACAUGAAAAUUAUUAAAGAGGCAAUUGCAAAAAUUAAAUGUUAUCAGGUAUACAGACGCGAUAGUAUAGAAAAGUUAACAGACAACUUUAUAAUUUACUUGGCUCUACACACGUAGAAGUUCCACGAAGGACCGCUGUUAAGGAUUCUCUUUAAACAUACGAUUAAAUAUUAAACCAGUGUGUGUUUCUUUUUGCUUUUUAUUUUAAUUGUAACGUAGAAAAUUUAAAAUGUCCAAAACUGUUAAGUUCCGAUCAAUGACUCUAAAAGUCAGUGUAUGAGAAAUUACGUAAGAAAUCAUAUAAAUUCUUACUUGAACAGCACUCAUAUAAAAAGUUCAUUCUAAACCAAGAAAACUUUGUAAGGUUACUACUCCUACGAAACUCAUCCCUAACUUCAACCUUAAAACCAACCAUUCAACACAAACAAAACAUGUAGCAUCAAAACAAAAGAUCUAUUAACCUGAUGACUUCCAUAAUUUAUCUCUUAAGCUCUAAUAUCAUGGUCAGUCAAUCAUAACCCAUUACCAACAUCACCUUUCUACAGCCCAAAACUAUUCACACAAAUUUUAUACAAAAAACCCACAACCAAUCCUUUUGAAUCCAAAAUAUACAAACCACAAAUAAUGCACAGAAAAUGGGAUGAAAUUUAUUUAAAAGGAGACAACAUGAAGACCAUUUGAAACUCUUAAAACAUAUCAAUGCCCCAACUUUUUAAUAUAGAAAAAAUUAUCAUAAACAAGUAAAAUAUAUCUUAACACAUAUAACCCUCUUUAUCUAAAACUUUCUAAAUUACUGUCAUACACAUCAACUGCAAAUGCAACCUUAAAACAUAAACCACAAAAUUAUAUAAAAAAUAAUAAAUUAGAUUUCAAAUAAAAUAUAUCCCGUCCUAGACCCUAUUAUAUAUAUAUAUAUAUAUAUAUUCUUGUAUGGUAAAAAAAAUAUAUUGGCUAUGACUGAUAAAAUAUCAAAGGAAAGUGGUCGAGUAAAAAGUUUAAAAGAAAAAGGUUUUCGUGCCCACCAUUCAAGAGUAAAUAUUUCUUUCUUAUCAUAUGAUUUUUUUGCCAUUUUGCCAUUUUGCCAUUUUACUUACCAAUCCAAACGAUUGAGUAACGUUGUGCAUGUAACAUAAUUUUUAACAAUCACUAUUUAACUAACAUAAAUAAAUUAAAUUAUUUUUCAGAGUGGAACUAAACUUUUUUACUUGCAUUUCAUUUAUCCACUAACGUUUUUCAUAUUUGUUCUUCCAAUGAACGACAUGUUUUUCUUUUAUAUAUUAAAUACAGAAACACAAUCAUCAUAAGUGAAACAAUUUGAAUAGAGGUUUUUAGAGCAUCUCCAAAAAGAAACUCUAUUUUGAAGUUUUCAAAACUCCAUAUUUGAAGUUUAAAAGUGUUUUUCUCUAAAAGCAAAACUUCAAACUCGACUUCAAAACUAUUUGUAUUUUAUAAUAUGGUCCUUAUAUAUUUCAUAACUAAUUUGAAUUCAUCAAACUUUUAUAAAUAACUAGCACAUAUAUAAACAUAUUACAAUAAUAUUAAUUAAUAAAAUUUUAUAUUAUAUCAUAUUAAAAUAUUCCUAAAAUACUAACUUUUAUCGAUGAUAUUAAUACUCAUGAAUAUAUUCGAUAUGAACAAAAAAUAUUGUAUGAAAAAUACAUCAACAACAACAACCAUCCUCAGUAACACAAAACAAAUUGGACAAUAUUUGGAAAUUUUGAAGGUUUCAGAUCAAACUUACCUGACUAUUAGUGUUGUUGUAAUAUUUAAAUUUGUGUAAUAGUUAUGUCUUCAUGAAAUUUUUUAAAAGCUUUUUUCAUUAGUUUCUUUUGUAUAUUUUUUUUGUUUAAAUCUACAUUUAAAAUAGUUUAAAUCUUAUUUUAAAGUUUAUUUAAUUUAUGUGUAAAACUUAAAUUUUGCAAACAAAAUUUAAUAUAUUUAUGAUAUAUAAUUUUUUAAGGAUUAAAACAAUAAACGAUAAAAUACUUAUGAAUUAUAAAUAUGAUGUAUAAUUGUAGGGACCAGAAUGCAAAUAAAAAUAUGAAACUUCAAAUUUGAAGUUUUGAGUAGUGAAACUUCAAAUAUAGAGUUUCACUCCUCAAAACUUCAAAUUUGAAGUUUUGAAGUUCUUUUUGGAGAGCAAAAAACUUCAUAUUUGAAGUUAUAGAGUGUCUUUUGGAGAUGUUCUUAUAUACUCGCUGUUUCAAAUGUUGUUUCUUCCUUCAUUCAUAGUAUUAGUUAGGAUAUAUAAAUUUGAUGAGUGGAAAAAUGGGAGAAUGAGACACACAUGGAUAUUACAUUUUUUAACAAAAUUAACUAAAGAAAAAAGAGUACACAUGCCUGUUAAUUUUUAUUUCUUUUUUUGUAAAAGUUGAAAAAUACUUAGCCUCUAAUUAUGAUAAAAUAAAUGUUAUAUAUACUUUUAAUCUAUAAUACGGUUUUUAAUUUUGAAACUUUUUCUUUCUUUUAUAUUUUAUAAAAUCGUUUUUGUAACAUAUGUAAACAUGAUUUUGUUAUCAUUUCAAUUUUAUUUCAAUAAAAUACAACAUUUAAUUUUUGUGCUUACACCAUAUUUAUCAUGUAUAUUUUUUUUUAUUUACUCUAUCGGUUGAUUCGGUCGGUCCCGGUAGAAGCACACUUAGUGCUAUAAAGUAGACUGGAUACCACACUGUAUAAUCUAAGUUUGAAAUGUCUUCCGACUAAUGUUAGAGAUAGCUAGAUCGUCUCUUACUGAACUAUCAUGUAAACUGCAUGAACCGAAUCUCAAACUCAGACUAGCCAAUUAGCAGUAACUUUGUUCCCAGCAGAAAUCACAUUUAAAUUUUCAACUUAACAUCAUAGUUUAUUUUUAACUAUAUCACAUUUUAUUUUUUUAUGUAUAAUACUAAAUAUACCUUUGUAAAUAGAUAAUAUAUUUGUUUAUAUAUCAGAUUUUAAAAUUUUGAAACAAGUACAUGAUAUUAGGUUUUUCUGUUUAUAAUUUUAAAACAUAUCUUUAAAUAAGAAACUAUUGGAAUCUGAGUAUGCGUCCAUCAACUUAAUUAUCUCUUUAUAAAAAAAAAAAGAAACUUAUUGAUCUGAAAGUAGUGGCGUCUGAGUCAUAGCGAGAAGCAGAUGAUGAGACUUACAUCUAAUAAUAAAGUUAAUAGUUAUGCUUAAUAUAUUUUUCAAAGGUAAAAGAUAUUGUGUCAAAAGACAUAAGAAACGCACCGUUUUGAAACUCUCUCUGCAGACGACAAGAAAGACGAUUCUGCUUCCUCCGGAACGGCGUCGAGUGUGCGCGCGUUAGAGCGUCGCUUGAGUGUCCGGCUCCGGCGGGUCCCCUCCUCAUCCCUUCUUCCUUGUUUUUUCUUUGCCACUUGCUUGUCCAUGUCGGUCUCUCCGCCUUGCUAGAGCUUCUGAGUUGGUGAGAUCUGUCCGCCAGCCGACCGCGCGCGAGGUACGUCUGCCGGGUUCGAUCUGUGCUCUCUUUGGUUGUUCUGGCGCGGUAGUAGCAGCGGUGGCUCGUGAGUGGUCGGCGUUUAGGGUUGGGACUGGAUCUAUUUUCUCGUUCAGAUCUGGUCCGUUUAUCGUCGUCGUUCGGCGAGGCUUGCCCGGUUGGGUUUCUUUUCUGGUCGCGGUGGUCUCUGCUGUGCUAGGUUUUGGAAAUCGAUCUUCUUUCGGGUCUUGGACGCGGGUCCUGUUUCGGUGUCGAAGCGGACUGCCCCACUUCUCGGAUGUUAGGUGAGUUCUGGUUCUUUGAGUCGGAGGUGAGGCUUGAGCCAGGCUGUGCAGGCGGAGAUGGCAUCUGGUCUCUGUCCAGCCUUUCGUUGUGGUUUCAGGGGAGUUUUAUCCGCUGCUUAGCUGCGGAUUCCGGUGGUCGUCCAUGUCUUCCGGAGACUGUCUUGUUCCCGACAUCACUUUGGGCCUCCUUGUCACGGCUGCUUAUCCAUUCUGUCCCGAGGUUUUAGCGGCCGCAAUUCCUCUGGGGUUUUGGUCUCAACGCACUCCUUUGUUUAACUGUUUCCGUCGACACCGGCAGUGGUUCUCUCAGCUUGGUUUUGGUUCCCGGUUCUCGGUGACCACAAGUGUGGAGGCGGCUCUCGGGGAGUCAUUGGCCGCCUCCGUGUCGUCGCUUGAUCUCAGACUACGUCCCGGCACCGUUCAGAACUCUUGCUCUCUUGCGGUGGUGGUCUUGUUUUUCCUUGCAGGUUCAGGAGGCUUAAUGGAUUGGUGGUGGCGAUGAUAUCAGCCCGCCUUUGUUCGGUUUAUGGCAACUUGGAAGUGUGUACAGAUUGGGCUCUCGAACGUCUUCUCAGUAAGGUUCUUGGUUCUCCACUUCUCUAGUUCGUCAUGUGCGUCAUUGACAGUGACGGUAACAAUGUCUCGAGGCGUUCAUUGGAAACUAGCUACUCCAGAGACGACAAAGGAAGUCCCGGCAUCCGAAGAAAUGAGGAGAACCUCACCUUCCUGCGAUAAUCGUCAAUGGUUGAGAACAGCAACCAAUUCUUAAGGAUUUCGAAAAUCGGACUAGUGGAACGUGCCGGGUUUAGUGGGUGGGCGAAACUAGAAUGUAAUAGAUUAACUUAGGAGCUUUUGUUCAAAUCGAGCUUGUAACCGAAUCUGAAUUCCCGUAUUUCGGGUUGAUUUAAUAUAUCUAUAUUAUUU